UCUCCCCUCCCUACUAACUGAACGAGCUACUCCGAGUACAGCCGUUACGGGCCUAUCCGUCUCUUUUGGCAAAAGAGUGGAGAGAGCUCUGAGUAGAGGUGACAAACCUACCGAGUCCAGUUAUAGCUGGUUGUCCGAGAACUGAGUCUGAGCUCAGCUUUUUGGCUUCUUGCCUCACAAACAGUGUUAACAAAACCGACCAUAAGAAACCAAAAAAGUUAGUCAAAAGAGGUACAGCUCUUUUGAUACAAGAAACAACUUUUAAAGGAGGAUAAGGAUCAUACGCACCAAGGCCUUGUUGUUUAGGUGGGCCUAAGAGCAGCCACCCUAUAGAAAGCGUUAAAGCUCAAACACCCCAACGCCCCCAAUACCGACAUUUCAUCCUAACCCCUACCCCCUAUCGGACCUUUCCAUGCACCCAUGGAAGAGAUUAUGCUAAUAUGAGUAAUAAGGGGUCAUGACCCCCUCCAAGCACAAGUGUACCUCGGAACGAACUCCCGUCGAAAUUUAACGAACCCAAACCAAGAGGGCAUUGGACACUAAACCACAAAACUAGAGAAACAUCCACCCCAACCUCGUUAACCUUACACCAGUGUGCCCAAUAGGAAAGACUAAAAGAAAAAGAAGGAACUCGGCAACCCCAAGCCUCGCCUGUUUACCAAUAAACAUCGCCGCGUUGUAAACCAACAAAAUAAGAGGUCCCGCCUGCCCCGA
rnacentral:rRNA from 1 species